rnacentral:rRNA from 1 species
AGAUUGAACGCUAGCGGGAUGCUUUACACAUGCAAGUCGAACGGCAGCGCGGACUUCGGUCUGGCGGCGAGUGGCGAACGGGUGAGUAAUAUAUCGGAACGUGCCCAGUAGCGGGGGGAUAACUACGCGAAAGCGUGGCUAAUACCGCAUACGCCCUACGGGGAAAGGGGGGGAUUCGUUCGGAACCUCUCACUAUUGGAGCGGCCGAUAUCAGAUUAGCUAGUUGGUGGGGUAAAGGCUCACCAAGGCGACGAUCGUGUAGCUUGGUUUGAGAGGACGACCAGCCACACGUGGGACUGGACGACGACGGCCCAGACCUCCCGUACGGGAGGCAGGCGAGGUGGGUAAUUUUA